rnacentral:lncRNA from 1 species
CCGCGUUAAUUUGCAAAGUGUAAACGCUUUACCAUUGCAGAUCAAAAAUUCAGCGCUAUUGUAAAUAGACACAACACAUAAUUCAUUUUUCCACCAGAUACUUAGUGAAAAAACAAGUGUCUAAUCUUUUUCAUUUUCCCUCUCAUCCUCGUUUUUCACUUCCCUCUCAUUCCAUUUCGUUUCUCAACCCUCCAAAAAAACCUAAACCCAAGCUAAACCCAAAAUCUUAGACCCUAAACUUAAAACACAACCCUAAAACUCAAGCAUUUUCUUAUUCUAAGUAUAAAUCUUAAGUUUAAAUAUAUUCAAGUUUUAACCUUUUAAAAUUUUAAUUUCAAACAUUAAUCUAAGCCUCAAACCCUAAAUUAUAUACUUAUAUAUAUCAUACCCUAAAUUAAUCACAUCCCCUAUACUCUAACUAAAAUUCAAUUUAGGGAUAUAUAAUUUUAACAAAAUGACUUGCUAGACUUAUUUUUAACCCCUAAUCCCUAAAUAUACUCUAACCCCUAAACCCUAAACAUAAUCCUAAAAUCUAAGUUUUAAACUUUUAAACUUUAUAUAAAAAUAAAGUUCGAUAUAAAUAUAGUAAUGCAACCCGAAUCCAUAUAUACUCUAACCCCUAAACCCUAAACAUAAUCCUAAGAUCUAAAUUUUAAACUUUUAAACUUUAUAUAAAAAUAAAGUUCGAUAUAAAUAUACUAAUGCAACCCGAAUCAAUCUAAUACCCUAAAUCUAAUACUCUAAACCCUAAGAUUCAAACUUAGAUGAUAUUCUAAAUACUAAAUAAAAUCUCUAAAUAAUUUUUUUUCCAGAUUUUAAAGCCAAAAUUCAAACUUAAACUUUAAAUCUAUGUAUAUUUCAAAACUAAAAUUAUACAAACUCUAAAUCUACUAAAUGCCAAACGUAAAUUCUCAUUAUAUAUAUCAUACCCCAAAUCAACUAUACACUUUUAUAUACCAUACCCUAAAUUAAUCACAUCCCCUAAACUCUAACUAAAAGUCUUCAAAUUAUAAAUUUUUAUUAGUUUAAAUUUUUUAAUUUUAAUUCAAAUCUCAAUUCUAAUACUCUAACCCUAAACUCUAAAUGUAUACCAUAGCACAAAUCAUAU